GAUGAAGAACGUAGCGAAAUGCGAUACUUGGUGUGAAUUGCAGAAUCCCGUGAACCAUCGAGUCUUUGAACGCAAGUUGCGCCCGAAGCCACUAGGCCGAGGGCACGCCUGCCUGGGCGUCACACGCCGUUGCCCCCCAUCUACUCCUUCGGGAUUGCGGGGGGGCGGAUGAUGGCCUCCCGUGCGCCUAGCCGCGCGGUUGGCAUAAAUACCAAGUCCUCGGCGACGCACGCCACGACAAUCGGUGGUUGCGAAACCUCGGUUGCCCGUCGUGUGCGUUCGUCGCGCAUCGAGGGCUCGAAAAAAUGCUCGGCUCCGGCUGGGCUUUCAACGCGACCCCAGGUCAGGCGGGGUUACCCGCUGAAUUUAAGCAUAUCAAUAAGCGGAGGA
rnacentral:misc_RNA from 1 species